GAUGAACGCUGGCGGCGUGCCUAAUACAUGCAAGUCGAGCGAACAGACGAGGAGCUUGCUCCUUUGACGUUAGCGGCGGACGGGUGAGUAACACGUGGGUAACCUACCUAUAAGACUGGGAUAACUUCGGGAAACCGGAGCUAAUACCGGAUAAUAUUUCGAACCGCAUGGUUCGAUAGUGAAAGAUGGCUUUGCUAUCACUUAUAGAUGGACCUGCGCCGUAUUAGCUAGUUGGUAAGGUAACGGCUUACCAAGGCAACGAUACGUAGCCGACCUGAGAGGGUGAUCGGCCACACUGGAACUGAGACACGGUCCAGACUCCUACGGGAGGCAGCAGUAGGGAAUCUUCCGCAAUGGGCGAAAGCCUGACGGAGCAACGCCGCGUGAGUGAUGAAGGUCUUCGGAUCGUAAAACUCUGUUAUUAGGGAAGAACAAACGUGUAAGUAGCUGUGCACGUCUUGACGGUACCUAAUCAGAAAGCCACGGCUAACUACGUG
rnacentral:rRNA from 1 species